rnacentral:rRNA from 1 species
AGCAGCCGCGGUAAUUCCAGCUCCAAUAGCGUAUAUUAAAGUUGCUGCAGUUAAAAAGCUCGUAGUUGAAUUUCGGGACCAUCAUGUUGGUCGUGCCUAGGUACGUACUGGCAUUGUUGGUUUCUCCCUUCUGACGAACCAUGAUGUCAUUAAUUUGGUGUCUUGGGGAAUCAGGACUGUUACUUUGAAAAAUUAGAGUGUUUAAAGCAGGCAUACGCUUGAAUACAUUAGCAUGGAAUAAUGAAAUAGGACGUUUGAUUCUAUUUUGUUGGUUUCUAGGAUCGACGUAAUGAUUAAUAGGGAUAGUUGGGGGCAUUAGUAUUCAAUUGUCAGAGGUGAAAUUCUUGGAUUUAUUGAAGACUAACUACUGCGAAAGCAUUUGCCAAGGAUGUUUUCAUUAAUCAAAGAACGAAAGUUAGGGGAUCGAAGACGAUCAGA